GUGGUAUUUUUCUAUAGAACUGAUAGUUUUGGAGUUUUUCGAGAAUUAGUUUAACAAGGAUGGAGGAGUUUUUGAAUAAUUUUCGAAGGAUAUCUCGAAACGUAGGGGAGAUAGGGGGAUUUAUACCGGGAAGUCUUUGUAGGGGAUUCGAUUUUAUAUAAAAAAAAUCUUCUGGUGUUUUUCUAUAGAACUGAUAGUUUCGGACAUUUUCGGGAAUUAGUUUAGCACGGAUGGAGCAGUUUUUAAAUGAUUUUCGAAGGAUACCUCGGAACGUAGGGGAGAUAGGGGGAUUUAUGCCGGGAAGUCUCAAUAGGGAAUUUAAUUUUUUCGCAAAAAAGCCUUUUGACAUUUUUCCAUAGAACUCAUAAUUUUGGGGAUAUUUCCGAAAUAGUUAAAUAGCGAAAUAUUCAGCAACAAAUAAAUUUACAUAAUCAGUGGAAUUAUCAUCUCGUUUGACGGAUUAAGAAAUGUGUUGUCUUCGUUAGAAACAAUGAACGUUGAUUAUUUAAUAUUUCUCGGUCAUUCGUUCAUUGUUCUAAUGUUAGAUUUCAAGGAAAGGCGAUAAGGCCAUUAUUCAUAAAAUUAUGAAUAAAUGUAAAUAUGGAAGACCUUACAGUUGAAAUAAAACUAUUGAUAACAAUUGACUCAUCUGACAUUGUUAUUCACUAGAAAUAUUUGAAGCAAUUAAUUUAUCACUUGAAACGUUUGUCAACAUGUCUAAAAAUGUUCAAUAUAAUUAGUGCAAAAUCGAAAUGAACUUCAAAUCAGAUAAUAAAUUCGUCUGCUAUUCAUCAUUCUCCGUAAUCUCACUUAUCAUCUCUCAAAUCCACAAUAGUGUGUGACUCGUGUUGACACUCUAGUCAAGACGGUCAUCCGAUUGGUGAGAAUUUUCGAUAGUGUCAACGUCAAGUUGUGAAAAAAUACAAACAACAUCAGUUUUAUUCGUUCGAGACGCCAACGUUCGAGAGACUUCAGUUCACUUCCGUCGUCUUUCAUAUCUCAAGCUGAGAUCACACAUUCAACAAUUGAAAAAAAAAGGGAUUAAGAGAAAUGAGUUCAGGGAACAGACUGACGGUGCCAAAGGGCCCAAAGCUGUCUAGCCCAAGAAGAAGUCGAUCACCUCCAGUCGAAUCGCAAAAGACACCCUCUAAGAAUAUAGAGAUUCAGAAAAAAUAUGAAGAUUGGCGUUCGGAUGCUUCAAUCGAGACUCGUCCCGCACGUCCGCCAUCGCCGAGGAACGACUCGUACAUUAAUUUUCAAAAAAAUAAAUGAUGAAAAUUUUUUUAAUAUUGCACAAUGAAUUCAUAUUUAAUUAACGAGCAAUAUUUCUAAUGUUUACCAAUGAAAAAUUUGUAAAAUGAAACGAGUGAUAACAAUUGACUCAUCUCAUUAUAUUUGACUAAAAAUGUUUGAAAUACAAAAUUUAUCACUUAUCCCACAUAAAUCUAUAUAUUACAUAUUA